rnacentral:rRNA from 1 species
UGGGUUUGACAUGCACCAGACGCGUCUAGAGAUAGGCGUUCCCUUGUGGUUGGUGUGCAGGUGGUGCAUGGCUGUCGUCAGCUCGUGUCGUGAGAUGUUGGGUUAAGUCCCGCAACGAGCGCAACCCUUGUUCCAUGUUGCCAGCACGUAAUGGUGGGGACUCAUGGGAGACUGCCGGGGUCAACUCGGAGGAAGGUGGGGAUGACGUCAAGUCAUCAUGCCCCUUAUGU